rnacentral:rRNA from 1 species
CCCCGGGUCUUGUACACACCCGCCCCGUCACACCAUGGGAGUGGAAUCCGCCCAGAAGUAGGUAGUCUAACCGCAAGGGGGACGCUUACCACGGUAGGUUUCAUGACUGGGGUG